rnacentral:rRNA from 1 species
UGGGGAAUAUUGGACAAUGGGCGCAAGCCUGAUCCAGCAAUGCCGCGUGAGUGAUGAAGGCCUUAGGGUUGUAAAGCUCUUUCACCCACGACGAUGAUGACGGUAGUGGGAGAAGAAGCCCCGGCUAACUUCGUGCCAGCAGCCGCGGUAAUACGAAGGGGGCUAGCGUUGUUCGGAAUGACUGGGCGUAAAGGGCGCGUAGGCGGUUGACCAAGUUGGGGGUGAAAGCCCGGGGCUUAACCUCGGAAUUGCCUCCAAAACUGGUCGGCUUGAGUGUGGAAGAGGGUUGUGGAAUUCCCAGUGUAGAGGUGAAAUUCGUAGAUAUUGGGAAGAACACCAGUGGCGAAGGCGACAACCUGGUCCAUUACUGACGCUGAGGCGCGACAGCGUGGGGAGCAAACAGG